UACAGUCUGUCUAUAAAGUCGUGACAUGAAUGUUUGAGGAACUAACAUUAUUCAUGUGUCUGGCAACACCAAAGUUCACCAAACAUAUGUACAUCAGCUGUCAUCGAGAACAAGUUGUGGAACGAUUUUCAUUUUGUGGUUUUUAUUGUUUGACUAAUCUCCAGUAAAUUAUUACUCAGCUACGAAGAAAAGUAUAAACAAUGAGUAAAGUAAAUUGGAGUGCCACGCGGAAAGUGAUUUUUAAAGUUUUCCAGCAAUGUUCCGCGGAGUACCAAGCUGGUCAAAUUUUGUGGGAUUUGGAUGAUGUUUAAGCGCGAACAGCAUCUUUGACGGGUACGUAAUCGUGUUACUGCUUGUUUAUAAUCUACCUAAAGUAACAAAUUUACUGCAUUUUGCGAUUUGGUGACCAAAACAGGCAUUGUUUACAUAGGACAUUUUUAGGUUAAAUUUUCAUUGUAAGUAGGAUAUAUUGUAGUACGACCAUUUCAUUUGAUACAUCAAUUCAGUCAAGUUUUCUACGAGUUUUGAAUUUGAAUUAAUUGCUUCAUAUCUAUAUUACCCGUUCGCUUUGGCCAUUGAUAACUGUAUGACAUCACUUUCACAUCAAGUUGUCUGUCUACAAAAACAAUAAUUUGUUGCAAUAUUUUUUUAUGAUUAUGAUUUAGCUCUAGAUUAUAAUGUGAGUGCAUGUGAAAUGAUAUCUUGUUGGUAAAUAUUUAACAAUAAAUAAUAUUAGUUAGGUUUUGUAGUUAUUCUUUCCAUCCCUUUAAAAUUUGAACUUUUUUUUUCAGGAAAAUCAGAGAGUACGGUUAGGCGCAUAGUUAAUGAAGGUUUUCAGAAUAAUGGAAAAUUUAGAAUUCCUGGGAAACACAGGCAAGGCCAACCAAAGAAAGAAAUGGAUAAUUUUAAUAUUUGUGCUCUGCGCCAAAAAAUAUAUUUUUUUUACACGGUACAAAAAGAGGUCACAAAAUGUUCGCAAUCUCUAAACAUCAAACAAAAGACAUUUUCAAAGGAAAGCGUUACAUCAUAGUCCAUGCUGGAAGCGAAAAGGGGUUUGUUUCAAACUGCCUCCUCAUAUUCACUGACAGAAAUAAUUUGGAAGACUACCAUUCAGAAAUGAAUGCGCAUAACUUUACGAAGUGGAUUAAAGAAAAACUAAUACCAAAUCUUCAUGAGCCUUCCAUUAUAGUUAUGGACCUGUACCAAGACAAUUGGUUAUUUGCUUAGGCGAUAAUAGCAACAGUGAAGAUGAUGUGAGUGAUGUCAGCGUUACUUAUGAAGGUGGCAACGAAACUUUUCUUAACAUCGAAUAUUUGGAAUCCGAUGAUGAAAGUGAUUAAUAAAUGUCCUUAUUAAAUAUGUA